CUUGCUCCUCCGGAUUAGUGGCGAACGGGUGAGUAAUACGUGAGCAAUGUGCCCUUGACUCUGGGAUAAGCGCUGGAAACGGCGUCUAAUACCGGAUACGACCCUCGGAGGCAUCUCCUGAUGGUGGAAAGAACUUCGGUCAAGGAUCAGCUCACGGCCUAUCAGCUAGUUGGUGAGGUAACGGCUCACCAAGGCGACGACGGGUAGCCGGCCUGAGAGGGUGACCGGCCACACUGGGACUGAGACACGGCCCAGACUCCUACGGGAGGCAGCAGUGGGGAAUAUUGCACAAUGGGCGCAAGCCUGAUGCAGCAACGCCGCGUGAGGGACGAAGGCCUUCGGGUUGUAAACCUCUUUUAGCAGGGAAGAAGCGAAAGUGACGGUACCUGCAGAAAAAGCACCGGCUAACUACGUGCCAGCAGCCGCGGUAAUACGUAGGGUGCAAGCGUUGUCCGGAAUUAUUGGGCGUAAAGAGCUCGUAGGCGGUUUGUCGCGUCUGCUGUGAAAACCCGAGGCUCAACCUCGGGCUUGCAGUGGGUACGGGCANACUAGAGUGCGGUAGGGGAGAUUGGAANUUCCCUGGUGUAGCGGUGGAAUGCUCAGAUAUNCAGGAGGAACCCCGAUGGCCGAAGGGCAGAAUCUCC
rnacentral:rRNA from 1 species